rnacentral:rRNA from 1 species
UACGUAGGGGGCAAGCGUUGGUCCGGAUUUAUUGGGCGUAAAGAGCGUGUAGGCGGCCUGGAAGGUCAGCUGUGAAAACUCGAGGCUCAACCUCGAGACGUCGGUUGAAACCACCUGGCUAGAGUCCGGAAGAGGAGAGUGGAAUUCCAGGUGUAGCGGUGAAAUGCGUAGAUAUCUGGAGGAACACCGGUGGCGAAGGCGGCAUCCUGGACCAACACUGACACUGAGGAGCGAAAGCCAGGGGAGCAAACGGG